ensembl:lncRNA
AUCAUGUAGUCUUUCUCCAUCAAAAUUUGCUCAGUAAGUAUGUUUUAAUGGAUGUUGAGAUGCUGGGGGAGGAAUAUGUGAAUAUACUAUGAAUGAAAGCUAGGAAUCAAAGGGCAUUACUGCAUUCUUCUUAUUAUUAGAGUUUAAAAUGUCCUCCUUAGGUAUUUGAAAAGUUUUGCACAUAAAGGAUGUUACUGCAAGUAAACAGUCGUGCAAAGAGUUGCAUUUGCUUAUGGGCUUCAUUUUUCCUAAUUCAACUUCAGUAUUUAAGUGAUUUUUAUUACUACGAUUUUUUUAAAUAUAUGCAAGUAUACAAAGCACAUCUUUGAAACAUCUUUCCUACCAAAGCAUGAGAGCUGUUUUGACUCUUUAACGUUUUUGCUUUAGCGCUAUUCAUUCUUUGGUGAAAGUGAAAUAUUCCAGCUAUGACACUAGCUGACUUUUCACUAUUACUGCAGUUUUUUUUCUUUAGAAAAUGUUCUGUAGUAAAAUACUCUUUUACUGCUGAGGAAUGUGGCACUCCUUAUGAGCGAUUCAUUUUAAAUCUGAAUUUGUGAUGCAAAGAGAGUAAACAUUUGACAUACUGAGGUAAUAAAAACCUAGGAAGAUUGGAAUGCAUGAUACUUGCUCUUAGAUUGUACACUUAAGUGAAUAAUGGGCUGCCUCACAACCAACUUAAUUGAAGUCAGUGCUUCAUAUUUUUUUCUUUAAAAAACGAACAAAUCUUAUCUGAAUAAGAUUUGAAGUUUCUCAUUUGCAUAAAUUAACAUAGCUAGCUUACCUUUACAAACAGGAAAUUAAGAUACAGAGAGCUUUGUUCAGAAAAUAAAUAAAAUGUAGAUUUGAGUUCUUGUGCAGUGAAGUUCUCUUCUACAGCCGGAUGAACACUUAAGUAAUGGCUGCUGCUGUUAAUAAGUUGCACACUGAAAGAUUCAGUUCUCUCAUUCAGGUAGUCUGUCCUGGCAUUUUAAGACAGGCUAACCUUCCUGCUUGCGCAUGUAUUCAAGAAUGCAUGUUUUUUUGUUUGUUUGCCUAAGAGUGACAUAAGCAUACGUGUAUGAAAUUGUGCAGCACAGGAAGCAAACGGAUGAAAAAACUCAGGCAUGCUUGUCGUGAAGGAGCAAAGCAUCCUCCAGAAGAGACAGAAGAGCAUGUUUCAGAGACAUUUCAUUGGCCUUUGGGCUGUACUGAUGAUUUUUAACAGGUCUGUGGAUAUCUCCACAAGGCAUCUCUGUCAGAGAUGUCAUUAGGCAAGUAUGAGAGGGAAGGCAGUGGCCCAAAUACUUGCCAACAUCAACAAUUCCUUGGCCACGUGGAUGGGAAUAGCUGCUUCUCCUGCUCUUUACAUCGUGAGAGCUAAUUAAGACAGCUGCUCCUAAUUAUCAGGCUUUAUGACAUAGAUAAAUUCAC